rnacentral:lncRNA from 1 species
GGGAGUGCGUGCAUUAGGGGAUGUAUGUGGAAGUAAAACAGAUCCCUUAGGCCUGUGAGCCUAUCGCACUGCAUUUGUCAUUCCUGCUCGGGCGACAUUUUUUUUCCCCCCUAAGCUUCUGCACACUAAACACAGUGAGAGAGCUUUUCCCUGCAGUCUUCUUGAAGUCCCCUGAUUUUUACUCGGUGUUGGUGGGUGUCUCUUAAUUUUUUUUUUUAUUAUUCCCUGGAAUAUGGGGUAUAAUAUCAAUAUUCACUGAAGACAAAAAAGCAACCUUUUCUGCAUCUCGGUGGUAUGCUCUUUCCUUGUCAUCCUUUCAAACUUGUUGUGGAACAGAGUGUUCUUUUCUUUCUGUGCAUUCUGAACCAGUGCAGUUACAAAAAUUGAACUUGUCUUUAACUUGUGAGCGGUUUGGUGAUGUUGUGAGGAAAGAACACACAGAAGCUGUUGUAGAGGACAAGGUACAUGCCGAUAUUUCCUGGACAUCUGUCCAAUCUACUUUGACAUUUGAAGACCAUAGAGUGUGA